rnacentral:rRNA from 1 species
AUUGAACGCUGGCGGCAUGCCUUACACAUGCAAGUCGAACGGCAGCACGGGGCAACCUGGUGGCGAGUGGCGAACGGGUGAGUAAUGCAUCGGAGCGUACCUUUCAGUGGGGGAUAACGUAGCGAAAGUUACGUUAAUAGCGCAUAUUCUGUGAGCAGGAAAGCAGGGGAUUGCAAGCACUUGGGCCGUCUGAGCCGCCGAUUUCAGAAUAGCGAGUUGGUGAGGUAAAGGCUCACAAAGGCGUCGAUCUGUAGCGGGUCUGAGAGGAUGAUCCGCCACACUGGAACUGAGACACGGUCCAGACUCCAACGGGAGGCAGCAGUGGGGAAUUUUGGACAAUGGGGACAACCCUGGUCCAGCCAUGCCGCGUGAGUGAAGAAGGCCUUCGGGUUGUAAAGCUCUUUCGGCCGGGAAGAAAUCGCACGGGCUAAUACCCUGUGUGUAUGACGGUACCGGAAUAAGAAGCACCGGCUAACUACGUGCCAGCAGCCGCCGUAAUAC